rnacentral:lncRNA from 1 species
GUCCCAGCCUUCUAGAUUCUCUGCCUGGAAGCAACUACUCUUCCUAGUUCCUUGAAAUGCUGCAUCCGUUGGCUCACGGCCUCCUUCCAUCUUUAAAGCCAGCCAUGGUAGAUAGUCUUUUGCAUGCCACAUCCCUCCGACACCGACUCUCCUGCAGCCCUCUUCCACUUUUAAGGACCCUCUGAUUAUAUUGGGCCCACCUGGAUAAUCAGGACCCUCUCUCCAUCUCAAGGUCCUGGACUGGAACCUAGGACUACAAUUUCAACUCAUCCACAAUCAAGCAAACUCAAGAGAAGUUAGAAGUUCCAAUCUUUAUAUUUUUGGGCUAUGUUUAAGGAAGAUGACAGGCAAAUAUGCCUAUUAGUGCCUGUCCUGUGGUCAAGCCUAAUGGAUCUGUAACCUGGAGACAGCAAGAUCAAUCCAGUAUCUUGGAGAGAGAAAACAAAGUGAGAACAUAUCUACCUGUCUUCUCCUGUUUCCCCUAUCCUCUGACAUUCUUUGGGCUCAUCGUUGGUGUUUGAAAAGCUUCACUUAAUGAGAAUCCAUGAAAUUUCCACGUCUUCAGAAGAACAUUCUCUGGAAACAGAUUGAUAAACCUGAAGUGAGUCUACUCCAGACGCUGGUAGGAAACCACUCCAUCCUCCUUUCCCAGGCUCUGGGGUGACGCUCAGCAUCUUAUGGAAACGGGACCCUGACUCCCAUCGGCCACGUUCCUCCACCUCUGUGACUCUGGCAACUCAGGCUGUAGGUGUUGAAAUGUCUUUGUUGAUAAAUGAAAAUCCUUCUGAUAAGACUUACAUUUUAUACCUUAAGAACAAAUCUAGUGCCUCUCUCUUGAGGCCUCGUGGGAGGCAGGGUGGUGGCCCUAAGAACUUGACUGGCAGACCCCGAACUCCAGGCCUGUCUGCUGCUCCCUGGACUCCAUCGCUGCUUUUCUGCUGAGGCCAUGCUGCCACGACCACUCCCAGCCAGUGAGCAACUAAAGUGGACCCGUUCCUGGACGACACCAGACUCCUCUGAUGGUUGACUUUGACUCAGGGACUCUAUUUGACCAAAGUGAUGACAAACAUUUUUAAAAUCUUCAUUUCAAUGUUAAGUAUGGAAUAUAUAGUCAACAGUGAUAUGAUGGAAGAAUUUAAAUGGAUUAUUGAGUAGUCAAAAAUCUGUACCAAAAAUGAUGUAAAGAAUAUUAAAGUAUGGACAAAUCAUUAUAAUGCUAACGAUGAUGGUGAUGAUGAUGACGAGGAAUCAUAAACUUGUUAGC